GUCUUCUUCUCUGCAGUCGACUUUCUCGAACUCCAGUGUUCCUCUCCAGGAAAUCUUCUGGCCCGGUUCUGGUGGCUAUAUUCCUUGCCGGCUUAACGGCUCCAGCUCCCCCCGAUGUCCGCAUACACCAUCGAGCCUCCCUGGACUUCCGCUAGAUGGCGCGUCGCCCUCAGCCCUGGCCACCUAUCGUUCAGGUGGGACUGGAA